GGGGUUGUAGCUCAGUGGAAGAGUGCUUGCCUGGCAUGUAUGAGGCAAUGGGUUUGAUUCUCAGCACCA
rnacentral:tRNA from 1 species